rnacentral:rRNA from 1 species
AUUGAACGCUGGCGGCAGGCCUAACACAUGCAAGUCGAACGAGUGGCGGACGGGUGAGUAAUGUCUGGGAAACUGCCUGCUGGAGGGGGAUAACUACUGGAAACGGUAGCUAAUACCGCAUACCAUCGGAUGUGCCCAGAUUGGAUUAGCUAGGAGGUGGGGUAAAGGCUCACCUAGGCGACGAUCCCUAGCUGGUCGUAGAGGAGGACCAGCCACACUGGGACUGAGACACGGUCCAGACUCAUACGGGAGGCAGCAGGGGGGAAUAGUGCACAAUGGGCGCAAGCCUGAUGCAGCCAUGCCGCGUGUAUGAAGAAGGCCUUCGGGUUGUAAAGUACUUUCAGCGGGGAGGCGUUACCCGCAGAAGAAGCACCGGCUAACUCCGUGCCAGCAGCCGCGGUAAUUC